UACGUAGGUGGCAAGCGUUGUCCGGAAUUAUUGGGCGUAAAGCGCGCGCAGGCGGUCCCUUAAGUCUGAUGUGAAAGCCCACGGCUCAACCGUGGAGGGUCAUUGGAAACUGGGGGACUUGAGUGCAGAAGAGGAAAGUGGAAUUCCAUGUGUAGCGGUGAAAUGCGUAGAGAUGUGGAGGAACACCAGUGGCGAAGGCGACUUUCUGGUCUGUAACGGACGCUGAGGCGCGAAAGCGUGGGGAGCAAACAGG
rnacentral:rRNA from 1 species